rnacentral:rRNA from 1 species
UACGUAGGGUGCGAGCGUUAAUCGGAAUUACUGGGCGUAAAGCGUGCGCAGGCGGGCUUUUAAGCCAGACGUGAAAUCCCCGGGCUUAACCUGGGAAUGGCGUUUGGGACUGGGAGUCUGGAGUGCGGCAGAGGAGACUGGAAUUCCUGGUGUAGCAGUGAAAUGCGUAGAUAUCAGGAGGAACACCGAUGGCGAAGGCAGGUCUCUGGGCUGACACUGACGCUCAUGCACGAAAGCGUGGGGGGCAAACAGG